GGCUUUUUACUGAUUCAAAGCAGCAGACGCUGAGCCUUGGUCUGGCUGGUCACUCUCCACUUUCUAGCCAUCUGCCGAGUAGGAGCUGGGCUAAAACCUAGGCACACAGCUGUUAACAUCUGGAUCCAGGACCAUGUCUGCCAACAAGGGCUGGUGGGUGCCACCCGACAGUGAGGACAGCCUGUCCGAGAAGUUCCUAAGGAAGACCAGGGAGUCUCCACUGGUCCCUGUAGGUGUCGGCGGCUGCCUGGUGAUAGCAGCGUACAGGAUUUACCGGCUGAAGGCUCGGGGUCCCACCAAGCUGUCCAUCCAUCUGAUUCAUACCAGAGUGGCAGCGCAGGCAUGUGCUGUGGGUGCCAUCAUGCUUGGUGCCGUGUAUACAAUGUACAGAGAUUACAUCAAGAGGGUGUCAGAGGAUCCUGACAAGUAGGACUCCUGGGCGGCACGAUGGCCCAGUCCCCCAGCUGUUUCUGUAUGUGCCUAAUAAAGCUAUGUUGAGG
rnacentral:lncRNA from 1 species